UUUCUCCUAAGGGCUCGAAAUCUCCUCACCAUGCUCUGGACUUCCCUCAUCGUCCUACUAGGAACGUGGUGCACAGGUUCCAGCUCGCAGACUGUGGUGACUCAGCCGCCCUCAGUGUCAGUGUCCCCAGGAAACACCGUGAAACUCUCCUGCGCCUUGAGCAGUGGGACCAGCAUCGGUGACUACUAUGUGUCCUGGUACCAGCAGAAAUCUGGGAAUUCUCCCCGAUACCUGCUGUAUUACUAUACGGAUUCCAGCAAGGGCCAGGGCUCUGGGGUCCCUGCUCGCUUCUCUGGUUCCAAAGACACGUCCAGUAACGCCGGCUAUUUAACCAUCUCCGGGGCCCUGGCAGAAGACGAGGCUGAUUAUUACUGUUCUGUGAUAAAGAGUGGCACUGCUGUUCCACACAGUGACACAGACACAUGGGGAAGUGAGACAAAAACACCCUUCCCUCCUCUCCCCGGCCUGGGCCCUGUGUGCACAGUUCACCAGUUUCUCAGUUUUGUCUCUGGCUGUGACAAAUCACACAGCUGUUUAUGACCAGGAAAUUCAGUCCAUACAGCUAUUUCCGGCUCCCUCCUCAUUCUCCUUCUGCAGGAUGGGGACUAUCACCUUCUUCUCCCUAAGAGUCAGCAUCCCCUCUGCUAUCAGAGUGGGGAGCAGAGACAACACUCCUAUCACAGCCGUAAGUGUCAGCACAAUUUAAUUCCUUCUCAGAUCUUCCCCAAGGCCUGCAGCAAAGACAAUGGAGUCAGGCCUUGAAAUUUCUGAUGCAGAAACACAUCAGAGGCAGAGGGGUGGAUGGGUAUAGAGGGGAAUGGGGCAUGAGGCACCAGACAUAAGGAAACCAAGGGCUAUUCAGGUGGCAUCACUGGUUGAGAGCGGUUGGCAGGGAAGAUUUCUGAGCUCAGUUUUGCGCACUGUGAGCUUGACACCAGAUGAGCCAUCAAAGGGC